AGACGCUACGGACUUGGAAAAUCCGUCGAAUUUGAAAAUCGUGAGGGUUCAAGUCCCUCUAUCCCCA
rnacentral:tRNA from 2 species